rnacentral:rRNA from 1 species
UACAGAGGGUGCGAGCGUUAAUCGGAUUUACCGGGCGUAAAGCGUGCGUAGGCGGCUUUUUAAGUCGGAUGUGAAAUCCCUGAGCUUAACUUAGGAAUUGCAUUCGAUACUGGGAAGCUAGAGUAUGGGAGAGGAUGGUAGAAUUCCAGGUGUAGCGGUGAAAUGCGUAGAGAUCUGGAGGAAUACCGAUGGCGAAGGCAGCCAUCUGGCCUAAUACUGACGCUGAGGUACGAAAGCAUGGGGAGCAAACAGGAUUAGAAACCCCCGUAGUCC